CACGAUGAUGAGCGGCAACGCAGAGGUGAACGCCAAGACGCGCACGUACACCAACAGGAGAAACGCCCAUGCGCACAUAAAGGGACUGACUCUCGCAUACUGGCUAGGCCGAGUGCCGGGAGGCAUCACCGGCAUCCGUCUGCGCGCGGUGCGCGGCACAGGUGGUGCGGCACGCGCCCGCAUGCCCUCAGGUCUCCUGCUGCUCUGAUUGCCUGCGCGCCUGGAGCGCUGGUGGCGGCGGCGCACAUUCGAUGGUGCCGUCCCCCCCCCUCCCCUACCGGCCAGCGCCGUCACCGGGCCUACGGCACGGCGCGGUUGUCAAGCCGAUGGACAGUGCGACCUAGCCGCUGGUGACGGGCACUGGCGAAGGGGGAGCUCUGCGUGGCACCUGAGGGCAUUGUGGCGCGGGGGCCGCCGAGGAAGCUGCACCACAGCGCGUGAGCCGCGUUGCGCGCGCGCUUGUGGUGCGUUGCGUCCUCGCGACGAGCCUGCGCGCCUGCCGGCGGCAGCAGCAGCGGCCAUGAACCACGAACCGCCACCGAGACCCCCUCCAAGGCCGCUCGGUGAUCCCGGGGCGUGUGUGUGCUCGCGACGGCCGGCGGUGGUGCGCAGUGUGCCUGCGCUGGUGGUGCCGUCGCAUCCCCGCAUCGUCGCCUUCAGCGGUGGCGCUGGCGUGUGCGGCCGUUGUCUGUGCCAUCUCGCCAUGGAGGGGUGCCCACUGCGUCGCUCAGCAUGGCGACCGCUGGGCUGCGGCGCCUCGUCUUGUGCAUGACUGCCGUGUUCAGCCGCGAGCAGGCGUUCGCCCACACGCAGCACACCAUCGACGCUGCUAGCCUCCACCACUUGGUCGGCAUCUCACGGCAACGACGUGGGCGAGCUGUUUGCCGCCGUGCAUCAAGGCCGCGUGUGGGCGGCAAGGUGUACGAAUGGGAAACUGUUGAAGGCAGCGCGGCAGCUGCAGGAGACGUGUGCCGGCCGCGCGCAGCUUCGUUCCGCUCCGCUGCGCAUUUCCCCGGUGCUGGUGGCGGUGGACGCGCGGGGAGAUGAGGAGGUGAUGGGGAAGGGCGGGUGGUGGAUCUGUGCGAGCGCGUGGGUGUCGGGGUGGAGGGGAGUGUGCACUGAUGGAGGGGCACCCUCACGUGCUGCGACCGGCACCCCCGCCCUCCUCGCCCCAUCGCGCGCACACCGGGGGGCGGGGUCGCUGCUGCUCACAUCCCCUGCUCUCUGGCGAUCCUCCUCAUUGUUGUGGUGCAGGGCUGCCGCGGUGCGGUGUCCGUGUGUUUUCCGUCGGUCUGCGCCCGGCGUGUCUCUCCCUGUGGUCCUGCAAUGAGCGGGAUGCGCGGUGACGGCGCGGCGCCGGUGGUGUCGGCGGAUUGUCGCGGCGGUGCCGCCUGUGAGGGCCGCGACGAUGGCGGUGUGUUUGUGUGCUGCUGUCUCCUCCCACGGUGCUGUGAUCGAUGUGUCUUCUGCUGUCGGGGCCUAGGGAGGGGGGGCGGCAGGCAGCGCCAUCUGCCCUCCCCGCUUGGUCGCCGUCUCUCGCGCCUCUGCCUCUCUCCCUCGCUGCCGUUGCGGCGCGCCGCACAUCCACCGGGCUCCCGUCCUGAUCCUUCUCGCUUGUGUGCAUGUCAUCAAGUGGCCCACCUGCUCCCGCUGCGCACGCCUCGCAGUCCCACUUGCCUGUCUCCUCACGACUGCCUCCCUCCCUCACCCCGAUCUCUCUCUCUCCUCGCCUCCUUUCACUCUUGCUCGCGUGGCGCAUCCGCCCACCCCCUCUCACAACGCACGCGCACAAACAAACGCCGACAACGUGCACGUGCACGUGCAACAACAACAAUAAUAUACGUAUAUAUACCUGUUUGUGUGUGUGUGUGUGCUGCCAAG
rnacentral:misc_RNA from 1 species